GACGAAGGGGGCUAGCGUUGUUCGGAAUUACUGGGCGUACAGCGCGUGUAUGCGGUUGUUCAAGUCAGGUGUGAAAGCCUUGAGCUCAACUCAAGAAAUGCACUUGAUACUGGAUGACUAGAGGACCGGAGAGGAUAGUGGAAUUCCCAGUGUAGUGGUGAAAUACGUAGAGAUUGGGAAGAACACCAGUGGCGAAGGCGGCUAUCUGGACGGUUUCUGACGCUAAGACGCGAAAGCGUGGGGAGCAAACAGG
rnacentral:rRNA from 1 species